UGAUCCUUUUAAGCCAAGGAUCACCUAGCCAACUGACGUUGUUAGUGAACGUUGUACUUGUUCACAAGAAUACAAGCCGAUCGCACGCUUUUUCGUGGUCGGCUUUUUUUUU
rnacentral:sRNA from 1 species